rnacentral:rRNA from 1 species
AAGCACCGGCUAACUACGUGCCAGCAGCCGCGGUAAUACGUAGGGUGCAAGCGUUGUCCGGAAUUAUUGGGCGUAAAGAGCUCGUAGGCGGCUCGUCGCGUCUGCUGUGAAAGCCUGGGGCUUAACCCUGGGUCUGCAGUGGGUACGGGCGAGCUAGAGUGCGGUAGGGGAGACUGGAAUUCCUGGUGUAGCGGUGAAAUGCGCAGAUAUCAGGAGGAACACCGAUGGCGAAGGCAGGUCUCUGGGCAUUAACUGACGCUGAGGAGCGAAAGCAUGGGGAGCGAACAGGAUUAGAUACCCUGGUAGUCCAUGCCGUAAACGUUGGGCGCUAGGUGUGGGCCGCAUUCCACGUGGUCCGUGCCGCAGCUAACGCAUUAAGCGCCCCGCCUGGGGAGUACGGCCGCAAGGCUAAAACUCAAAGGAAUUGACGGGGCCCCGCACAAGCGGCGGAGCAUGCGGAUUAAUUCGAUGCAACGCGUAGAACCUUACCUGGGUUUGACAUGGAUCGGGAGUGCUCAGAGAUGGGUGUGCCUCUUUUGGGGUCGGUUCACAGGUGGUGCAUGGCUGUCGUCAGCUCGUGUCGUGAGAUGUUGGGUUAAGUCCCGCAACGAGCGCAACCCUUGUUCACUGUUGCCAGCACGUUAUGGUGGGGACUCAGUGGAGACCGCCGGGGUCAACUCGGAGGAAGGUGGGGAUGACGUCAAGUCAUCAUGCCCCUUAUGUCCAGGGCUUCACGCAUGCUACAAUGGCUGGUACAGAGAGUGGCGAGCCUGUGAGGGUGAGCGAAUCUCGGAAAGCCGGUCUCAGUUCGGAUUGGGGUCUGCAACUCGACCCCAUGAAGUCGGAGUCGCUAGUUUAGCGUCUAGUCGUUGCGACGCCACUUAUGCAAGGGCC